rnacentral:rRNA from 1 species
GAUGAACGCUAGCUACAGGCUUAACACAUGCAAGUCGAGGGGAAACGAUAUUGGAAGCUUGCUUCCGAUAGGCGUCGACCGGCGCACGGGUGAGUAACGCGUAUCCAACCUGCCCAUCACUUGGGGAUAACCUUGCGAAAGUAAGACUAAUACCCAAUGACGUCUCUAGAAGACAUCUGAAAGAGAUUAAAGAUUUAUCGGUGUACGAUGGGGAUGCGUUCCAUUAGGUAGUAGGCGGGGUAACGGCCCACCUAGCCAACGAUGGAUAGGGGUUCUGAGAGGAAGGUCCCCCACAUUGGAACUGAGACACGGUCCAAACUCCUACGGGAGGCAGCAGUGAGGAAUAUUGGUCAAUGGACGAGAGUCUGAACCAGCCAAGUAGCGUGAAGGAUGAAGGUCCUACGGAUUGUAAACUUCUUUUAUAAGGGAAUAAACCCUCCCACGUGUGGGAGCUUGUAUGUACCUUAUGAAUAAGCAUCGGCUAACUCCGUG